UACGUAGGGCGCAAGCGUUGUCCGGAAUUAUUGGGCGUAAAGAGCUCGUAGGCGGCUUGUCACGUCGGGUGUGAAAGCCCGGGGCUUAACCCCGGGUCUGCAUUCGAUACGGGCUAGCUAGAGUGUGGUAGGGGAGAUCGGAAUUCCUGGUGUAGCGGUGAAAUGCGCAGAUAUCAGGAGGAACACCGGUGGCGAAGGCGGAUCUCUGGGCCAUUACUGACGCUGAGGAGCGAAAGGCGUGGGGAGCGAACAGG
rnacentral:rRNA from 1 species